AGUCCACAUCGACGGGGAGGUUUGGCACCUCGAUGUCGGCUCAUCACAUCCUGGGGCUGUAGUAGGUCCCAAGGGUUGGGCUGUUCGCCCAUUAAAGUGGUACGCGAGCUGGGUUCAGAACGUCGUGCGACAGUUCGGUCCCUAUCCGUCGCAGGCGUAGGAAAUUUGAGAAGACCUGUCCUUAGUACGAGAGGACCGGGAUGGACGUACCUCUGGUGUACCAGUAGU
rnacentral:rRNA from 1 species